rfam:Pseudomonas sp. TW4, complete genome.
UGUUAUGGCAGCUGUGCGCGGGACGCCUUUGGGCGUGCCGGAUCUUUGGUCCCCGGUUUCCAACCUGCGCACAGCCGCCACCCAC